rnacentral:lncRNA from 1 species
CUCAUGCGCCCAUUUGAAUUCACGAGAAACAACUUCUCAUGAAUUUUCUCCCAUGCAGAAGCCAUCCCACGCCCUCUCUUUGUGUGCCAUUUUGAAUGGAUAAGGAUGAGAUUGGUUGGCCAUUCAAAUUCAAAAGAUGUUUGAAUUCGAAUGGAUAACAAAUCUCUGCGCCCACCUUUUAUCUUGUGCGCCACUUCUUCCACACGAGAAAUGGUUUCUCAUGAAAAUUAUC